rnacentral:rRNA from 1 species
UACGAAGGGGGCUAGCGUUGCUCGGAAUCACUGGGCGUAAAGCGCACGUAGGCGGAUUGCUAAGUCAGGGGUGAGAUCCUGGAGCUCAACUCCAGAACUGCCUUUGAUACUGGCAACCUUGAGUCCGGGAGAGGUGAGUGGAACUGCGAGUGUAGAGGUGAAAUUCGUAGAUAUUCGCAAGAACACCAGUGGCGAAGGCGGCUCACUGGCCCGGUACUGACGCUGAGGUGCGAAAGCGUGGGGAGCGAACAGG